rnacentral:rRNA from 1 species
AGGACGAACGCUGGCGGCGUGCUUAACACAUGCAAGUCAAGGGGACCCGCAAGGGUAACCGGCGAACGGGUGCGUAACACGUGAGCAACCUACCGAAAUCUGGAGGAUAGCCGGCCCAACGGCCGGGUAAUACCGCAUACGCUCUUUCCACGGCAUUGUGGAUUGAGGAAACCUCCGGGGGAUUUCGAGGGGCUCGCGGCCUAUCAGCUAGUUGGCGAGGUCACGGCUCACCAAGGCGACGACGGGUAGCU